AUUGAACGCUAGCGGCAUGCCUUACACAUGCAAGUCGAACGGAGUGGCGAACGGGUGAGUAAUGUAUCGGAAGGUGCCCAGUAUCGGGGGAUAACUACGCGAAAGCGUAGCUAAUACCGCAUACUAUUGGAGCGGCCGAUAUCGGAUUAGCUAGUUGGUGGGGUAACGGCUCACCAAGGCGACGAUCCGUAGCUGGUUUGAGAGGACGACCAGCCACACUGGGACUGAGACACGGCCCAGACUCCUACGGGAGGCAGCAGUGGGGAAUUGUGGGCAAUGGGCGAAACCCUGAUCGAGCAACGCCGCGUGAGCGAUGAAGGUCUUCGGGUUGUAAAGCACUGUUGGCAGGGAAGCGGUACCUGAAGAAUAAGCAACGGCUAACUACGUGCCAGCAGCCGCGGUAAUAC
rnacentral:rRNA from 1 species